GCUCAGGAUGAACGCUAGCUACAGGCUUAACACAUGCAAGUCGAGGGGCAGCAUGUUAGUCUGCUUGCAGACUAACGAUGGCGACCGGCGCACGGGUGAGUAACACGUAUCCAACCUGCCGAUAACUCGGGGAUAGGCUUUCGAAAGAAAGAUUAAUACCCGAUGGUAUAGAUAUUCCGCAUGGUUCAUCUAUUAAAGAAAUUCGGUUAUCGAUGGGGAUGCGUUCCAUUAGGCAGUUGGCGGGGUAACGGCCCACCAAACCAUCGAUGGAUAGGGGUUCUGAGAGGAAGGUCCCCCACAUUGGAACUGAGACACGGUCCAAACUCCUACGGGAGGCAGCAGUGAGGAAUAUUGGUCAAUGGGCGCAGGCCUGAACCAGCCAAGUAGCGUGAAGGAUGACUGCCCUAUGGGUUGUAAACUUCUUUUACAUGGGAAUAAAGUUUUCCACGUGUGGAAUUUUGUAUGUACCAUAUGAAUAAGCAUCGGCUAACUCCGUGCCAGCAGCCGCGGUAAUACGGAGGAUGCGAGCGUUAUCCGGAUUUAUUGGGUUUAAAGGGAGCGUAGGUUGAUUGUUAAGUCAGUUGUGAAAGUUUGCGGCUCAACCGUAAAAUUGCAGUUGAUACUGGCGGUCUUGAGUACAGUAGAGGUGGGCGGAAUUCGUGGUGUAACGGUGAAAUGCUUACAUAUCACGAAGAACUCCGAUUGCGAACGCCGCUCACUGGACUGCAACUGACGCUGAUGCUCGAAAGUGUGGGUAUCAAACAGGAUUAGAUACCCUGGUAGUCCACACAAUAAACGAUGAAUACUCGCUGUUUGCGAUACAAUGUAAGCGUCCAAGCGAAAGCAUUAAGUAUUCCACCUGGGGAGUACGCCGGCAACGGUGAAACUCAAAGGAAUUGACGGGGGCCCGCACAAGCGGAGGAACAUGUGGUUUAAUUCGAUGAUACGAGAGGAACCUUACCCGGGCUUAAAGUGCAGAAGAAUAAUCAGGAAACUUGUUAGAGGCAA
rnacentral:rRNA from 1 species